rnacentral:rRNA from 1 species
UAGGGAAUCUUCCACAAUGGGCGCAAGCCUGAUGGAGCAACGCCGCGUGUGUGAUGAAGGCUUUCGGGUCGUAAAGCACUGUUGUAUGGGAAGAAUAGUUAAUGUAGGAAAUGAUGUUAAUGUGACGGUACCAUACCAGAAAGGGACGGCUAAAUACGUGCCAGCAGCCGCGGUAAUACGUAGGUGCCAGCAGCCGCGGUAAUACGUAGGUGCCAGCAGCCGCGGUAAUACGUAGGUG